rnacentral:rRNA from 1 species
AUACGGAGGAUCCGAGCGUUAUCCGGAUUUAUUGGGUUUAAAGGGUGCGCAGGCGGCCAUUUAAGUCAGCGGUUAAAUCGUGGGGCUCAACCCCAUUCUGCCGUUGAUACUGGGUGGCUUGAUUGCGGUCGAGGUUGGCGGAAUUCGUUGUGUAGCGGUGAAAUGCAUAGAUAUGACGAAGAACACCGAUUGCGUGGGCAGCUGACCAGACCGCAAAUGACGCUCAUGCACGAAAGUGCGGGGAUCGAACAGGAUUAGAUACCCUGGUAGUCCGCACAGUAAACGAUGAAUACUUGUUUUCGGCGAUAUAAUGUCGGAGGCAAAGCGAAAGCGAUAAGUAUUCCACCUGGGGAGUACGCCGGCAACGGUGAAACUCAAAUGAAUUGGCGGGG